rnacentral:rRNA from 1 species
AUGGAUUUACUUGGACCAAUACAGGAGAUUCUUAUGCUAUUUGGGGGAUUUGUUCUUCUACUAUGGGGUAUAGGAGUAGUAUUACUUACCAACCCCAUUUAUUCUUCCUUUUCGCUGGGAUUAGUUCUUGUUUGUAUAUCCUUAUUCUAUGUUUUAUUAAAUUCCAACUUUGUAGCUGUCGCACAACUUCUUAUUUAUGUGGGAGCCAUAAAUGUCUUGAUCAUAUUCGCUGUAAUGUUCGUAAAUGGCUCAUAA